GCUGGCGACUGGCGCACGGGUGAGUAACACGUAUCCAACCUGCCCUUUACUCGGGGAUAGCCUUUCGAAAGAAAGAUUAAUACCCGAUAGCAUAAUGAUUCCGCAUGGUUUCAUUAUUAAAGGAUUCCGGUAAAGGAUGGGGAUGCGUUCCAUUAGGUUGUUGGUGAGGUAACGGCUCACCAAGCCUUCGAUGGAUAGGGGUUCUGAGAGGAAGGUCCCCCACAUUGGAACUGAGACACGGUCCAAACUCCUACGGGAGGCAGCAUG
rnacentral:rRNA from 1 species